rnacentral:rRNA from 1 species
CCUACGUGAGGCAGCAGUGGGGAAUAUUGCAUAAUGGGGGAAACCCUGAUGCAGCGACGCCGCGUGAAGGAUGAAGUAUUUCGGUAUGUAAACUUCUAUCAGCAGGGAAGAAAAUGACGGUACCUGACUAAGAAGCCCCGGCUAACUACGUGCCAGCAGCCGCGGUAAUACGUAGGUGGCAAGCGUUAUCCGGAAUGACUGGGCGUAAAGGGUGCGUAGGUGGUUUAGUAAGUUGGCGGUGUAAUUCCGGGGCUCAACCUCGGCGCUACCGCCAAAACUAUUAGACUAGAGUGCAGGAGGGGUAAGUGGAAUGCGUAGUGUAGCGGUGGAAUGCGUAGAUAUGAGGAGGAACAUCAGGGGCGAAGGCGACUUACUGGACUGUAACUGACACUGAGGCACGAAAGCGUGGGGAGCAAACAGGAUUAGAUACCCGGGUAGUC